rnacentral:rRNA from 1 species
GACGAACGCUGGCGGCGUGCCUAAUACAUGCAAGUAGAACGCUGAAGGAGGAGCUUGCUUCUCUGGAUGAGUUGCGAACGGGUGAGUAACGCGUAGGUAACCUGCCUGGUAGCGGGGGAUAACUAUUGGAAACGAUAGCUAAUACCGCAUAAUAGUAGAUGUUGCAUGACAUUUGCUUAACAGGUGCAAUUGCAUCACUACCAGAUGGACCUGCGUUGUAUUAGCUAGUUGGUGGGGUAACGGCUCACCAAGGCGACGAUACAUAGCCGACCUGAGAUGGUGAUCGGCCACACUGGGGCUGAGACACGGCCCAGACUCCUACGGGAGGCAGCAGUAGGGAAUCUUCGGCAAUGGACGAAAGUCUGACCGAGCAACGCCGCGUGAGUGAAGAAGGUUUUCGGAUCGUAAAGCUCUGUUGUAAGAGAAGAGCGAGUGUGAGAGUGGAAAGUUCACACUGUGACGGUAUCUUACCAGAAAGGGACGGCUAACUACGUG